AAGAGCAAACUGUUCGUUGAAUUCUGGUGAUGAACCCGUGAGAAGUCCUACAAUCGCUAAACCUGACAGAGCGAUACUCCAUAGUAGUGGUCUAUUCUCGCUGAGAGACUCCAUGAACGGGUGACCCUUUUGAACACAACAAGAAAUGAAGUACACCAAACUACAGAAGUGAACAGCAAACUGCAGCAGCACAGUCAACACCGUAUAAAGAUUGAAGAUGUUUGGAGAACCAAUCAGAAAACAUGUAGAGCCUUCUCGCUUACAAAAAUUCUCACCUUUGAUCUGGAGAUGAAGAGAAAGCAUCCGGCCAAGAGAAGGCCUUGUAGGGUCGCCUGGAAAUCACUGAACUUGACCCCUUCGAGGUAAAGCACAGACUGGCUGUAGGCCAGCACCAGGGCGUUGAGAGCGAGGAUCUUGAACAUUUGGAGUGUUGUCACCAAAGUGCAACGGCCUUGCUUUAUUACAUGGCAGACUGGGGGAAAGGACAAAGCUAGUUUCAGAGGUGGGGAGCAGCUUUAUGUUCUUAUCUCUGACAACUAGUGUUACUCACUGCACUGUAUGGAGGAGAGUUUGGAGGUGAAGGGGGCAGCGAUGGAGGCAUCACCCAGUUUCACUACUUGUAACUGAUCCUCUUCAAGUUCCCGUAAGACUUGACUGAUCCUCUCCUGUUACAGAUUAAACCCUGAUGUUUAGACUGGUGCACUAUAACACUAUCAUUUCAAAGAAAGGCCUUGUGAACAUAAAUGAGUUUUAGUUGCUGUACAAAGCAAAAAAAAUGAAUUACAUUUUUAAACCAUUCCCAUAAGUAUCAGUAAGAAGGCUCUUCCAAGACACACACCUUUUGUGCUGCAAGCUGCUCUUCUCUCUGGGCCAUCACCCUCUGCCUGGCUGCCCUGGAGCUCAGUUUGCCUCCUGAACUGACAGGUGGUAUAGGUCUGGAUUCUGCUGCGGUGGCCUCCUUUUCUCUACCCCGUUUCUUUCUUUCAGGCAUGCGUUCAGGUGCGUUGGCUAACAGAGCAACACCUGAGGAAAAACUAUCAUCACUACACACUGUUGGGGUCACACAUAGAGAGACAUGUUUCCAAGUCUGGGUGGUUAAUAAAUCUUACCUAUGUGGGCGUGUUUGAGAGCUCCAACAUCAUUUGUGCCAUCCCCACACAUUAGUGUCACAUAACCCAGCCCCUUUAGACUUGUGAUGACAAAUUCCUGAAAUAGAACAAACAAUCAUCUUUAUAGCUGAUGACUUCCCAGAGUUUGUAAUUGAGUGGUGUCCCUUAGUUAAAAUGCUUGUCUAAACUGUAUCAACUGUGCUUUGUCUGUGAUGAAGGAAAAAACUGACAUUGACUAUUGAUAUUGAUGUUUGAGAUAGAUAACAAAAAAAAAUGUUAAGCUAACUCCAUGGCUGUAGGAAGAAAACACACCAUCACACACUAAAUGGGACCCAGAAACGCAGUGUCUGUUACUAAUUGUUGAUUUAGAGUGAGCAUUUCAUUAAAAACUACAAAAUACAUAA